rnacentral:tRNA from 1 species
GGAUUGUGGCUAAGUGGAAGAGAGUUUGCCUUUCAUGCGUGAAGCACUGGGUUCAAUCCCCAGCACCA